rnacentral:rRNA from 1 species
CAGUAGCCGCGGGAAUACAGAGGGUGCGAGCGUUAAUCGGAUUUACUGGGCGUAAAGCGUGCGUAGGCGGCUAAUUGAGUCGGAUGUGAAAUCCCCGAGCUUAACUUAGUAAUUGCAUUCGAUACUGGGAAGCUAGAGUAUGGGAGAGGAUGGUAGAAUUCCAGGUGUAGCGGUGAAAUGCGUAGAGAUCUGGAGGAAUACCGAUGGCGAAGGCAGCCAUCUGGCCUAAUACUGACGCUGAGGUACGAAAGCAUGGGGAGCAAACAGGAUUAGAUACCCCUGUAGUCCCUGUCUCUUAUAC